rnacentral:rRNA from 1 species
GACGAAGGGAGCAAGCGUUGCUCGGAAUAAUUGGGCGUAAAGGGUGCGCAGGCGGUUUUUUAAGUGAAGUGUUAAAGACUUGGACUCAAUCUAGGGAAUGCAUUUCAUACUGAAAAACUUGAGUGUGGGAGAGGAAACGGGAAUUCCUCAUGUAGAGGUGAAAUUCGUAGAUAUGAGGAGGAACACCAGAGGCGAAGGCGAGUUUCUGGAACACAACUGACGCUAAGGCACGAAAGCGUGGGGAGCAAACAGG